rnacentral:lncRNA from 1 species
CUUGUGUACAAUUUGGAAAUUAGUAUGGCGUUCAUUAUCACUGAACUAGUAUAUAUUUGUUUAGGGGCCAGCUGAGGGACGCCUCCGGGUGCGGGAAUUUCUCGCUACAUUGAAGACCUGUUGGUGACCCUCUGCUGUUGUUUUUUAUUUGGUCGGGUUGUUGUCUCUUUGACACAUUCCCCAUUUCCAUUCUUAAUUUUAUUGUACUCUAUAUCUUUUUUGUGCACCUUUAACUUUAUUUAAAUAGAGGUGUUCAAGUUCAUUUUCAAUGGUUUUAAUUUCUUUUUUUAUAAUUUGACUUGCAUUUGUCUUCUCAUUUAGCUUUCUUAAUUUUAUUUCUAGAUUUUUUAUGUCAUUUUUAUUUUCAG